rfam:Octopus bimaculoides Scaffold132344_contig_42, whole genome shotgun sequence.
GUAAUUAGUAGCAAUGCAUAUGCUAAAAUUGAAACGACACAAAGGUGAUUAGCAUGGACCCUGCUCAAGGACGACAUGCAAAUUCGUUAAACAUUCCAUUUAUUU